GCUCAGGAUGAACGCUAGCUACAGGCUUAACACAUGCAAGUCGAGGGGUAGCAGGGUAGCAAUACCGCUGACGACCGGCGCACGGGUGAGUAACACGUAUCCAACCUUCCCAUUACUCGGGGAUAGCCUUUCGAAAGAAAGAUUAAUACCCGAUAGUACUUUUUCGAGGCAUCUCGUAAAAAGUUAAAGAUUUAUUGGUAAUGGAUGGGGAUGCGUUCCAUUAGAUUGUUGGUGAGGUAACGGCUCACCAAGUCUUCGAUGGAUAGGGGUUCUGAGAGGAAGGUCCCCCACAUUGGUACUGAGACACGGACCAAACUCCUACGGGAGGCAGCAGUGAGGAAUAUUGGUCAAUGGGCGAGAGCCUGAACCAGCCAAGU
rnacentral:rRNA from 1 species